UCGACAGGAGGAGCAGGGAGAAAGGGGUGAAACCCUAACUCAACAAAACCUUCAAAUUGGAGGAUCAAACGAAGGCCAAAUUCGGAUUGGAAUAUACAUAAACGAUCACCAAGUCAAGGGGAUCGAAAGGUAUGAAUUUUGACUCUAAACAAGCUAGGUGGGAGCUUGGAAAGGAACGGGUCAAACGAAUCAUGGAUGCAAAGAAUGUUUGCGCGGACGCGAGGUAA
rnacentral:lncRNA from 1 species